GAUAGGUGGGAGGCUUUGAAGUGUGGACGCCAGUCUGCAUGGAGCCGACCUUGAAAUACCACCCUUUAAUGUUUGAUGUUCUAACGUGGACCCGUGAUCCGGGUUGCGGACAGUGUCUGGUGGGUAGUUUGACUGGGGCGGUCUCCUCCUAAAGAGUAACGGAGGAGCACGAAGGUUGGCUAAUCCUGGUCGGACAUCAGGAGGUUAGUGCAAUGGCAUAAGCCAGCUUGACUGCGAGCGUGACGGCGCGAGCAGGUGCGAAAGCAGGUCAUAGUGAUCCGGUGGUUCUGAAUGGAAGGGCCAUCGCUCAACGGAUAAAAGGUACUCCGGGGAUAACAGGCUGAUACCGCCCAAGAGUUCAUAUCGACGGCGGUGUUUGGCACCUCGAUGUCGGCUCAUCACAUCCUGGGGCUGAAGUAGGUCCCAAGGGUAUGGCUGUUCGCCAUUUAAAGUGGUACGCGAGCUGGGUUUAGAACGUCGUGAGACAGUUCGGUCCCUAUCUGCCGUGGGCGCUGGAGAACUGAGGGGGGCUGCUCCUAGUACGAGAGGACCGGAGUGGACGCAUCACUGGUGUUCGGGUUGUCAUGCCAAUGGCACUGCCCGGUAGCUAAAUGCGGAAGAGAUAAGUGCUGAAAGCAUCUAAGCACGAAACUUGCCCCGAGA
rnacentral:rRNA from 1 species